rnacentral:rRNA from 1 species
AUUGAACGCUGGCGGCAUGCUUUACACAUGCAAGUCGAACGGCAGCGCGGGCUUCGGCCUGGCGGCGAGUGGCGAACGGGUGAGUAAUACAUCGGAACGUGCCCAGUAGUGGGGGAUAGCUCGGCGAAAGCCGGAUUAAUACCGCAUACGACCUGAGGGUGAAAGCGGGAGAUCUUCGGACCUCGCGCUAUUGGAGCGGCCGAUGGCAGAUUAGCUAGUUGGUGGGGUAAAGGCCUACCAAGGCGACGAUCUGUAGCUGGUCUGAGAGGACGACCAGCCACACUGGGACUGAGACACGGCCCAGACUCCUACGGGAGGCAGCAGUGGGGAAUUUUGGACAAUGGGCGAAAGCCUGAUCCAGCAAUGCCGCGUGUGUGAUGAAGGCCUUCGGGUUGUAAAGCACUUUUGGCGGGAACGAAAAGGACUGUGCCAAUACCACGGUUCGAUGACGGUACCCGCAGAAUAAGCACCGGCUAACUACGUG